CACACCAUUUAGUAUACUCUUUCUUUCCCAUAACCCCGAUAAAUACCACCGACUAAUAACCAACGGACGA
rnacentral:tRNA from 1 species